GGGGGUGUACUGGUUUCGACGUUGAAUGUUGAAACGCCGGAAGCGAGCCGGGGACUCCGGGGCCCCGUCAACAACCUGGAAACCAACAAGAAAUGCCAAACCUCAAAUGGCACUGGCUGCCUGAGUAACCCUCAGUAGCAGCUCGUCCGCCCGGUGGGUGCCUACCUCGUCGGAAUGCGGGCGUCGCUUCGUAGGCUGCGGCAUCCGGGGUCCGUGACCGGAUGUCAAAGACUGAUUGCGGAUAGGAAGUCGGAAAACUGGCCAUCAGAGUUCCGAUGACCGAAUGCUUGCUGAUGGCUGCGCUCGGAGAUGCCGGCGUGAAGGAUUCAGCGGACCGGGGUUCGACUCCCCGCACCUCCACCC
rnacentral:tmRNA from 1 species